GUCUUAGCCUCUGGAGUAGCUGGGACUGCAGGUAUUCACCACCAUGCCUGGCUAAUUUUGUAUUUUUAGUAGAGAUAGGGUUUCACCAUGUUGACCAGGCUGGUCUCAAACUCCUGGCCUCAAGUGAUCUGCCCACCUUGACCUCCCAAAGUGCUGGGAUUAUAGGCAUGAGCCACCAUGCCUGGUCAUUACAUUGAUUUUUGUAUGUUGAACCAUCUUUGCAUUCCAGGAGCUCUUCAAUUUU
rnacentral:lncRNA from 1 species